GCGAGGAUGGCGGAACUAGGCAGACGCGCUGGAUUUAGGUUCCAGUACCCAACGGUGUGGGGGUUCGAUUCCCCCUCCUCGCA
rnacentral:tRNA from 1 species